rnacentral:rRNA from 1 species
UACGUAGGGUGCGAGCGUUGUCCGGAAUUAUUGGGCGUAAAGAGCUCGUAGGCGGCUUGUCGCGUCGGAUGUGAAAGCCCGGGGCUUAACUCCGGGUCUGCAUUCGAUACGGGCAGGCUAGAGUUCGGUAGGGGAGACUGGAAUUCCUGGUGUAGCGGUGAAAUGCGCAGAUAUCAGGAGGAACACCGGUGGCGAAGGCGGGUCUCUGGGGCCGAUACUGACGCUGAGGAGCGAAAAGCGUGGGGGAGCGAACAGG